AACGCACAUUGCGCCCCUUGGUAUUCCGAGGGGCAUGCCUGUUCGAGCGUCAUUAUGACCACUCAAGCCUAGCUUGGUAUUGGGGUUCGCGUGCUCGCGGCCCUUAAAAUUAGUGGCGGUGCCGUCCGGCUCUAAGCGUAGUAAAUCUCUCGCUACAGGGUCUGGGCGAUUACUUGCCAGAAUCCCCCAUUUUUAGGUUGACCUCGGAUCAGGUAGGGAUACCCGCUGAACUUAA
rnacentral:misc_RNA from 1 species